UACGAAGGGGGCUAGCGUUGUUCGGAAUUACUGGGCGUAAAGCGUGCGCAGGCGGUUUUGUAAGUCAGAUGUGAAAUCCCCGGGCUUAACCUGGGAACUGCGUUUGAAACUACAAGGCUAGAGUGUGACAGAGGGGGGUGGAAUUCCACGUGUAGCAGUGAAAUGCGUAGAGAUGUGGAGGAACACCGAUGGCGAAGGCAGCCCCCUGGGUUAACACUGACGCUCAGGCACGAAAGCGUGGGGAGCAAACAGG
rnacentral:rRNA from 1 species